UACGAAGGGGGCUAGCGUUGUUCGGAAUCACUGGGCGUAAAGCGCACGUAGGCGGAUCUUUAAGUCAGGUGUGAAACCUCCAGGCUCAACCUGGAGACGCCACUUGAUACUGCUGUGACUGGAGUCCGGUAGGGGAGCGUGGAAUUCCUGGUGUAGCGGUGAAAUGCGCAGAUAAUCAGGAGGAACACCAGCGGCGAAGGCGGCGCCUCUGG
rnacentral:rRNA from 1 species